AGAUGCAGAUGAGACAAGGCAAAAGACUGUUGGAAAAUUUCAUUCCAAAAUGAAAGAUAUUUCAAAUAAUAAGAGGAAUGUUUCAAGCUAGAAGAGGCAGCUACAUAACAGCAAAGACUCAGCAUGGUGGAUGGACAAAGAAAAAAACUGGUUCAUCUUUAGAGUUAGACAGUUUCAGUUGGGAUAAUGAUAAAAUUUCUUUUGCUUUAAUCCUUUUGAAUAAUGAUGACGACGACGACGAUGAUGAUGAUGAUGAUGACGAUGACGACAUCACCACCACCAACAACAAUAACUCCUUGUGGGGCCAGAGAGCUAUGGAACUGAGAGGAGCAGCCCUGGAGCAAGAGUGGUGUGGAGACAAUCCAAACUCCUGAAAUCUCAUCCCAAGAUCUGUAGCAGUAGGACUAUUGCCGCCUCUGCCCCAGGCCUGCAUGUACUGGUGCAUGUAUUCCAGUGCCCCCCACCCUUACUUUACCAGAGGAGGUCAAGUAGCCAGUAGCCAAUUUAAACUUCCUUUCCCCUUAAAAGGUCAUGUCCAGGAGCACCUGGAAUUCCUCCUUAUACAAAUGAGGCAUCCCCAGCCAAUGAGGUACACUCACCCUGAUAGCCCACCCCUCAAAGGUUUAAAUAGCUUUUUCCCUCCUUCCACAAUAAACUGAAUCAGUCUCUGAAGCUAA
rnacentral:lncRNA from 1 species